rnacentral:lncRNA from 1 species
GUGUCCCCUGAGACACAGGUGAGAAGAUCAGCUCAUGACUUCAUCAUUCCAAAUUUCGCCUGCAAUUCUAGAAAAACCAGUGAAUUUACCCAUUAGCUCCACCAUUGGCUGGGGCAUGGCAUGGCUCAGGAUAGAGGGUUGGCCUAGCAUGGGCAAGGCCUGGCUUCCAUCCCCACCAAUGCGGAAAAUUAAUGAGUUAACUAGUUGAUUUAUUUUUCAUGUUCAUAAUUGAUUGAUAAAGCAGUUUGACAAGCAUGCUCUCUGUCCUUCCACACACCCCUGCCCAUCAUAACACACCAGCCCAGGAAAAAAUCUCAAGGUAGCCGAGAACAGAUGUACCAUGAGGAUACACUGCUUACUAUUGAAGCUCAAACUUGAGUGAGCAAAUGCGAGCCCACCGUAACCUGGGAGGUCUCAGAGCAGCAAUGGCACUGGGUCCCCAGAUAACUGUUUCAUUCUUAUCUUUCUAAGAAUGAGAGGGGUUCAAAAGGAAGGACCUUCAGAAAGCUCUGAUCUAGAGGAUUCCACUCUGACCCCUGCCUUCCCCUCAGAGCCAGUAGACCCUCCAUGGUCCAUCCAACAGUUCUUUCAGAGAGGCUCCUGGGUAGAGGACUUAAGAAAAUACACUCAGUCCACAUACUUCUUUUUUUCUGUAUUGGAGAUUGAACCUAGGGGUGCUUUACCACUAAGCCACAUCACCAGCCCAUUUCUAAAAAUUUAGAGACAAGGUCUUGCUGUGUGCUUAGGGCCUUGGUAAGUUGUUGAGGCCGGCUUUGAACUUGUAUGUACUUGUUGAUAGAUACAGAGGGCAGCCCCACAUGGCAGUAGUCACCCACAGUCUCCUGUCACCUCUGCUGAUGCUACUGGGGGAGCAUGGCCACCGAGUGUGCUGUGCUGGUGCUUGCUGAGUAUAACUCUCUUGCACACUAUCACACUUUCAUAAAAUCCCCAAACCUCUUCAGUGUGAGUGAAGGGAUGUGAGGAUACUUGCUUUCUGCUAUCUUUUUGCUUUUCUUGUCUAAGUGACUGAAGCCAGUGCUUAGAGCCAAGCCCAAGCCCAGGUCUCAUGAGCACAGCCCCCUAAUUCUCCUAUUCACACUGCAGUAGAAGGCCAUGCCUUCAGCCUGCUUAGGGAAAAGGACACUGCUGGGUGACAAGGUGGCAAGGAAGGCAGCAUCCUUUUCUCAGCUUGAGAACAGUAGUUAACAGUGGCCCACACAGUCACCAAUCACGAAACUGCCUGGUGCUUGCUUUGGAGGCACACAUACUUAAGUUGGAACGCUGAAAAUUGGCAUGGCCCCUGAGCAAGGACAACAUGCCCAUCUAUGAAGCGGUCUGUAUUAGAAAAAGAAAAAAAGGAACUCUGACUGCACCCAGGUCACAGCGGCAGGUUAGAGGCUGUCAGCUGCCCCGAGACCAGAGAUGUGCCCUCCUAGCCUUCGGCAGCACACAGGUGUUAGGAUUCAAGAUGUCAUUUAAUGCCUAAAGCUCUUGCUUAGUGCAGGUUGAUGUUAGUGCCAGGGUUAGACACUUGCUGCUGCCCCUGAUCCUGAGUUGUGCACGGCAGAGGCUUGGUCCGGCGUGGGGACAUCUUGCUGAGAACGCAGCGCCUUCUUCCCCUGGCCUUUGCACCAAGCAUUUGAGCUGGGCAGAGUAGUGUGCACGUGUGACACCCUGUCAUCUCCAGCUCUGCAUGUCUCUAAGCAGUCAAGGUGCCUCCUGUCUGGCUUCAGCAGAUGCAGCAACCCAGCCCUGCUCCUGUGCUCCACGCCCCGACUUUUGUUGUGCCUCACUCAAAAUGGUGCUUCUUCAGUUGUCUGUCUUCUCUUACGUUUUUAUUUGUAAGGUGCUGUAUAUAAGUUGAAUAUAUUAUGCACAUAUCCUACCCAAUGGGUAGAACAAAAAUUGUUAAUACUGUACUAUAAUGUAUAGAUGAUACCAAUUUUAACAGAAAUGGCAUAGAAUUUGUGAAUGCCUAUGUGCUUGGUCCUCUUUUGUAAGGAAAUUUGCAAAUGGAUGCAUACAGAUAAAGUCUAUGCAGUUUAUUUUCCUAUUAAAUACCAAUAUUAUAACACAAGGGAAAGAAGUUUGAACAAACAAGCGACAGCUUAUGACCAGCGUAUAUAUAGCAAUUGAGUUGCAUCUUUGCUGUGAAAACACUUUGAAAAUAUUUUUUAGAAGUCGCACAGCUUUAUGGUUGCCACUAGAUGCUUCUUAUUUUAGUCACUUUAGAAACGCUCAGCUGGACAAGCGUUAGUUAUAUUUGAGUCAGAAAAAAAUGACUUCAACUUGCUUUGUGAGCAGACAUUACCUGGUGGUGCGUGAAGGGCUUGGGCCUCAGUGAGAAGCGCAGGGUUUUGUCAUGUCAGAGUGACGGGCCGGCCUGCAGCAGAGGACUCUGUUGGGCUUUGGGGCAUUUGUGACCAUGUGUGUCCAGAGUUUCUCUGUGCCUUUUCCUCUUGUGAACUGAAGCUGUGGAGCCAGUGAAGAGGGGGUUUUGUAGGGAGAGAGCACCUCAGGAAAAACCAACCCGUGUGGUGGACCCCGGUCUCAGGAACAGUGUGUGCCAUGGGUUAGCAUCAGAAAAUCAGCGUCAGCCAGCCAGGCCAGGACGCUCGAGCCAUCCCUGCGGUUGUCCUAUGUCAGUCCUGACCCAAAAUGCCAGCGGGGUUUUUGGGUAGAGGUUACAAUUCCAGUUGCACAUGAAGUCAUGCCUCUUUCAGCUCAGUUUUUGGUGUCUCACUAUCACCUGUUUUUCUUCAGAGUCUAUUUUUUUUUUUUCAAACAAAUAAAAGGUCUGUAACACCGUGUCCAUAGAAACCACUGCUGAAUGUUGGCGUGGGCAUCAAGUGUUGUCCAGCAGGGCACUUCACACAGUUCUGCCCAUCUGAUUCAUGAUCCCAGUCUAUUCUGUCACUGGAAUAGUCUAAUAGAGUCCAUAUUUUUAAUUUGCUUUGAUGUUACUUUUGAAAGUCACAAUACAAUCAUCCUUCUACCUUCCAGAAAAUGUCACUACUGGUUAUCCUUAAUCCUAACACCUCUACAAUGCAAAUAUCAAAUGCUGGGGGAUUAGGAUUAGGUUGGCCUUCCUUUAGCGAAUUCUGAAAGCGCCAUGAACAAGUGCCCAUCUGUGUUGGGUCUCAGGAGGCAGUACCACUGGCACCUGCAGGGGACACUGGGACCAGCAUCGAGAUUCAGAAACGAAGCUGCCACCCUGGGUCUGGCGCAUGUGAGAAUGUUCUGGACACGUCUGUAGAGGUACCAACUUGUGCAGCCACAGCAUUGCUUUCUUUCUGCAGACCCAACUGAGGCCAAGACCUUCUAGUCCAUGAUACUGGUUCCAUUUAACAUGCUUGUUGUUGUAUCACUGUGUUAUUUUCAUGGCUUUCAAAAUUCACAUUGUCAUUGUAUUCUUGUCUAGUUUAAAGCUGUUUAAAAAUAUAUUAUUCACAGCAUUUACUUCAUUUAAUUUUUAUAAUAAAGCAAUCUACUAAAAAAGUACAGCUGUAUUUGAACUUUUCAAUCUUUGUGAGCUAUGAUAAUCAGAAGUCAUUAAAGUCCUUUUUUAAAACAACCAUUUGUGCUUAAUUUUCAACAUACCUCCCAGGUGCAGAGAGAUCCCUGACUCUCCUGUAAUCCACCUCCUUCACCUGAACACUGGGGAUUAGUCCUUAAGCCCAAGGUCUGUAAUAGCAAGGCUCUUAAAAAAAAAAUGUUCUUCUGCGGAGUGCUGUGUGUCAUUUUUGAAAUCAGGUUUUUCUGCUCGUUCUUAAUGCUGUGGUCAAACCAUAGCACAAAAUCAUUAAAAAAAAAAAAAUCAGUGACAUACAUUUGUCCCAUGGUUUGUCUGUUUAUCUUUUAGUCACAACAAAUGUGUAAACUGACAUGUUUAGGACCUCUCACAGAAACACUUCUUAUUUCGUGGUGCUGGGGAUGGAGCCUGGGGCCUCCGCGGGCCAGGCAGGUGCUCUACCACUGAGUGGAGCCUGGGCCCAGAGAAGCACUUCUGAUGGUCCCCAGCUGAGGCUCCUCUCAGCUUGUCACUCUUGACCAAAUGACAAGUGUGCCAGAAACAACUCUGGUCAGGUCACUUCACAAGAUUCUCUUCUCAUUCUGAGUCCUGCACAGAGCACUCAGAGAGGGUUCCUGGGGCGGUGGGGGGGGGGUGGUGCUGCCAAGAGAACGGUGGACCCACAGGGGACUGUGGAUGGCUGUCACACAGUGAGCAAAGGAGACUCGACCUGAAUGGGAAUUAAGGUUUCUGAGGAGAGCUGUUCAGCAAUGGGACAAACUGCCUCAGCAGGUUUAGAUUCCUCAGCACUGCAGGGCUUCACAGGCCACAGUCUGCACUGAGAUGGGAAUGUUCUAAGGUCUACAUAAGCAUGUAGAUUCCAGAUGAGGAGGCUGUGAAUGCACAAAACCCUACACAACCUACCAAGUUCAUCACAAGUGAACUUAGCAUGGCUACAAUUCAUUAUUGCCUUUUUAUGUACUUAUAAUGAACAAAUAGAAACUAAAAUUUAAAAAAUACUAUCAAAGUAGUUGUAUGGGCCUGAAAUCCCACUUAUAACAUCCAUUUUUUAUUAUGAAUCAAUUUCCUUUUGGAAAGCCAAGCAGGUGGCACAUGCCUGUAAUCCCAAGAGACAAGGGAGUGAGACCUUG